GUGGGGAAUAUUGGACAAUGGGCGCAAGCCUGAUCCAGCCAUGCCGCGUGAGUGAUGAAGGCCCUAGGGUUGUAAAGCUCUUUCACCGGUGAAGAUAAUGACGGUAACCGGAGAAGAAGCCCCGGCUAACUUCGUGCCAGCAGCCGCGGUAAUACGAAGGGGGCUAGCGUUGUUCGGAAUUACUGGGCGUAAAGCGCACGUAGGCGGACUGGUCAGUUAGGGGUGAAAUCCCAGGGCUCAACCCUGGAACUGCCUUUAAUACUGCCAGUCUAGAGUUCGAGAGAGGUGAGUGGAAUUCCGAGUGUAGAGGUGAAAUUCGUAGAUAUUCGGAGGAACACCAGUGGCGAAGGCGGCUCACUGGCUCGAUACUGACGCUGAGGUGCGAAAGCGUGGGGAGCAAACAGGAUUAGAUACCCGAGUAGUCC
rnacentral:rRNA from 1 species